GAGCGGAUGACGGGAGCUUGCUCCUUGAUUCAGCGGCGGACGGGUGAGUAAUGCCUAGGAAUCAGCCUGGUAGUGGGGGACAACGUUUCGAAAGGAACGCUAAUACCGCAUACGUCCUACGGGAGAAAGCAGGGGACCUUCGGGCCUUGCGCUAUCAGAUGAGCCUAGGUCGGAUUAGCUAGUUGGUGGGGUAAUGGCUCACCAAGGCGACGAUCCGUAACUGGUCUGAGAGGAUGAUCAGUCACACUGGAACUGAGACACGGUCCAGACUCCUACGGGAGGCAGCAGUGGGGAAUAUUGGACAAUGGGCGAAAGCCUGAUCCAGCCAUGCCGCGUGUGUGAAGAAGGUCUUCGGAUUGUAAAGCACUUUAAGUUGGGAGGAAGGGCAGUAAGCUUAAUACCUUGCUGUUUUGACGUUACCGACAGAAUAAGCACCGGCUAACUCUGUGCCAGCAGCCGCGGUAAUACAGAGGGUGCAAGCGUUAAUCGGAAUUACUGGGCGUAAAGCGCGCGUAGGUGGUUCGUUAAGUUGGAUGUGAAAGCCCGGGGCUCAACCUGGGAACUGCAUCCCAAACUGGCGAGCUAGAGUACGGUAGAGGGUGGUGGAAUUUCUGUGUAGCGGUGAAAGCGUAGAUAUAGGAAGGAACACAGUGGCGAGGCGACACC
rnacentral:rRNA from 1 species